AAGUCGUAACAAGGUUUCCGUAGGUGAACCUGCGGAAGGAUCAUUACAGAAUAAACCUGAUGGAUUGCUGCUGGCUUUCUUGGAAGCAAUGUGCACAUCUGUCAUCUUUAUAUUUCCACCUGUGCACCCUAUGUAGACUUGGAUGUUUUUUUCCAUAAGCGCCCAUUCAUUUGAGUGCUUUUUGGGCUUUGAAGAUUGCUGUUUCUAUGGCUUUCCUCACAUUUCCAAGUCUAUGUUUAACAUUUUUAAACUCCAAAGUAUAUAUCAGAAGGAAACUCUGGCUUUUAUAGCCAAUAAAACAUAUACAACUUUCAGCAACGGAUCUCUUGGCUCUC
rnacentral:misc_RNA from 1 species